rnacentral:pre_miRNA from 1 species
AAAGCAUUCGGACCGUCUGUCUACCGAGCAAUUUGACGCGCUCGGGGGAAGAUCUUCCCUAUGUCGU